AUAUUCCUAAAAUGCCUUAGUAUUUAAAGAAUGCGAGUCAAUUGCACUAGAUGCAUGUUUUUAUUUUGUUUCUAACGUGGACCUUAUGUAAGCAGGUCUGAAGUUUAUCCACAAUUUGCUGUACUAAUUGAUAACAUUUGUAUAUGUAUUCCAAAUAUGAAAUGUCAUUAAAUGUCUCAUAAAAGUGAUAAUACAAUACUGUAUUUGGGAAAAAUAAAUGAGUCAUACAACAUAGUAAUCAACAAGGUAAAAAGUCAUAUAACGCCGUCCCCAAAAACAGUCUGUCCCAGCUCCAUCCUAAUUGGGUAUCCACGUCCCGAUCCUGUCACAGGACACCAGUAAGAAAACGGAAACCGAAAAUUUCAAGAAACCAAUAUCGUUUUCUUUUCCUCA